CUUAAUUUUAUCUCCUUAUCUACCCAAUUUAUUCAUUUUGAUAGUGUUCAAGAUGUCCACUGUUUGUUUCAUGUUGAUUUUGUAGAUUUGGUUCCCAGUCAGGAAUCGCUGUGGUUAAAGAGAUCUGUAGGAACAUUUCAACUUGCACAAGGGCAACAUUUUGCUGUUAAAAGUGGGGGAAAGGAAUUAAUGGAGGACUUCUAAAGAUUUGGGGCCCAUUUUCUGAUCUAGAGAGCACAAAGGUCUACAGAGUUGAAAGGGCCCAUGAACAAUACCGGAGGAGGAGGAGGAGGACAUUUAUAGAGCAAUUCAAGAUUCAACUUUUCAAGAUUCAAACUGCCUUAGGUGUUUGGAUGAUAAAAUGGCUGAAAGAUUUCCUGUUGGCAGAAUUUCCUCUCUACUCAGCAACACCAGGGGAUGACAGAAGAUAAUGGGUAAAGCUCACUGACCUGGCACAUAAGUGUGUUCACACACACAAAUGCACACAUUCUAGUGCUCUGGAAACUGGAGAGCAGGAUGAAAGGUGCACACAUUUAGUCUAGCUUCAUUAUUUUCCUUAGAGGUAUCUAUCAAUGGGAAAAGAGGGACUAUGGAAAGUAAUGAUGUGGGAAAGAAUGUAUAUAACUGGUGGAGAAAAAAAAAAUAACUAGGGAACAGAAAAUUACAGAAAAGAAAAAAAAAAGGACAGGAAAGAAUAGGAACAAUGAUGUUUGAAUAAUAUUAAAGGUAAUUGUGAAAAAAGUACAAGUUUCAUCUGAAAAAGCCCACUUAACAAGGCAUAUACCAAUGCUAAGCUAUUUGACAUAUAAAAAAAACCCAACACCAUUAAAAGAAUUUGGCUUUUUACAUGUACUUCAAAGAAAAAAAAUACAAGCUCUUAGUACACUGUUGGUCUACAAAAAGUUGUCCACAUUUACAAAGCUAGGAUGCAUCAGGGGUAACACUUUAACCUGUGCAAAUAUAAGUGAUUUUGAGGCUAUAUCUUUCUGUAACAGUUCAUCUACAAAAUUAAAAUUUUACCAAUUCAACUACUCUAAUCUAAAUAAAGUUCAUUUAUUCAAGUUUAAAGUUUAAGAAUAUUCAUGCUCCUUCAAU